UACGGAGGAUGCGAGCGUUAUCCGGAUUUAUUGGGUUUAAAGGGUGCGCAGGCGGAGGCACAAGUCAGCGGUAAAAUCGCGGGGCUCAACCCCGCUCCGCCGUUGAAACUGUGUCCCUUGAGUGCGCGAAGGGUAGGCGGAAUGCGUGGUGUAGCGGUGAAAUGCAUAGAUAUCACGCAGAACUCCGAUUGCGAAGGCAGCGCACCGGCGCCCUACUGACGCUCAGGCACGAAAGCGUGGGUAUCGAACAGG
rnacentral:rRNA from 1 species